rnacentral:lncRNA from 1 species
UUUCUGGACUCAAGUCUUUUUAGACCAGUUUUGGUUGUGUUCCCAAACCUGAACCAUUCACUGUGAGAGGGAGCCGUAAUGGCGAGAUUGAUAGGACUGUUACAUGCUGCCCAUUCACAGGCCCCAGUGAAGCCACAGGAACUUGUACUCCUCAAACCUAGGCUCAGUGGGGAGGAAGUGCCCGAGACACCUCAAGUGCCUGAUAGGCAAUGAAUUUACAUUCCUCUUAUCCAGAAUGAUGUCUAGUGCUGCAGGAAUGGUGGCUGAUUUAUUAGCAUGUCUAACAACAUGAUCCAACAUGGUUUAGAGGCGCAGUAGGCUGAGAUCUUAUGUCUGAUGCUACUAACUGGAGCCUUAGUCAGAGCUGCUUAGAUUACCUGCAAGUUAGGGGACAAUAUCAUUUGAGUAGUUACCUAAGUAUGUUUUAGAAAAAGUCCAGUGGUAGCAAUAACGGUUUGUGUAUAAUAAAAGCAGAAAAAUACAUAAGGCGCCUUUGGUCAGAUAAGCUUGGUCAAUUCCAUGUUGAAGGCAGUAAGUAUCAGGGUUUCUCUGAACCAGUAUGACUCUAAAUCUCCAAGAGUGGAUGCUGGGGUCCACAUUUCCUAUAUUGGUGUGUUUGGUCAUGAGUAGGGCUCAAAUUACAUUCCCUGGAGCACUCUGGGACUUAGCAAGUUAGACCAGUAGUAGCAACUAAGUUACCAGGACCCUAGAAGUCUGAGAAAAUUGUAAAGUGGGAGGAGUCUCUAAGCUUUUUUCACUAUUUCAGAAAACCUAAAGAAAAAAAAAAAAAAUCACAGGAUCAAAUCAAAUGAUAUAAAAAAUUUUAAUAAAAUUCCUUAUUUAUCCAUGAUAAAAACUCAGCUGACCAGAAGAGUGUAACGUCCUCAUCAUCCUAAAGGACAUCAACAAAAGUCUCUGCAACUUCAUGCUUAAUAGUAAAACACUAGAUGCUCUGCUCUGAUUAGGACAAGGCAAGGAAGCCCAUCUCACUCGUCCUAUUCGACACCAUACUGAAAGUCCCAGCCAGUGUAAUUCAGCAAGAAAAAGGAAAUAAAG